GGCGUGGUGUAAUGGUAGCAUAUCGGUCUCCAAAACCGAGGGUUUGAGUUCGAGUCUCAACGCCUUUGCCA
rnacentral:tRNA from 1 species